CCAAGACUAAAGUAUGACUGAUGGAUCACAGUGGGACACAGCGGUGGGACUGUGACCCAGGGGACACACAGUAACACCCAGCACCUGCUCAGAGGGACCACCUGGGCCCCAAUUUCUUCCUCAUCUGGUCUUAACUCCCUGUUUCCCACCUGCAACCGCUUAAAAUCAUAGAAUCAUUCAGAUGAGAAAAGACCUCUGACAUCACCAAGUCCAACCCCAACCCAUCCCCAUCACUGACCACAUCCCUCAGUGCCACAUCUCCAUGGUUCUGUAACACCUCCAGGGAUGCUGACUUCACCACCUCCCUGGGCAGCCCAACCCAAUGCAUUACCACCCUUUCAAAGAAGAAUUUUUUUCCUAAUAUCCAACCUGAAACACCUCUCCUCAAGGUAAAGAAGACAAUCAUUUCUUCCCCGAGAGCUCAAAGGCAGAGGGAAGACAGACCUGAGAGAUAUAGCACAAUGCUGUGGAUGAAUCCCAACACAGAAACCCUGGGAUUUGGGCCCCAUCCCAAGCUCUGGCUCUAGUAGAUACUCCGACCAUGAGAGGCACAGCAUGAAGGUCUCCUUGGCCCAGCUCAGCCCUCCCCCAGCUUUGGGGAGACAGAGGGCACGAGGGGAAGAACGCCACUAUUCCUGAAAGGAGAGAGGAGGUGCACAAGAGAAGGAACCCAGCAGAACAGUGCUUGGAGCCCCACACCUGACAUUUGUUUCAAAUAUAUCCAUUAUAUUAUAUAUUUAAUUCAUAUCCACUCGUGGCCUAUAGCCAGCUGCUCAAAUACUCGUCAAGAGUUGACUAAUUCCCCGACAUUAUUAUGCAGAUUAUCCCUCAAUCUCUCUUGGGUAGCUCCAUUUUAUGACUUCAGCUGGGCGUUAGGGAAAAGCUGACGGGCAGGGCCCAGUGAUGCCUCCAACCCUGGCAUGGUGCAGUAGAUGGGGCAGCGCAGGUAUUGCCAUUGGUAAGGGCUAGGGGCUGAGCUGCUUGCCCUAAGGGACCAGACCAUCCUUUGCAUCUGCAGGAGCCUGGAUGGGGUGUCCCCACCACACAAUUGUGGUUUAGACAGCUUCUAGUUAGGGGAUCUGGGAGUAUUUUCCCUAAGGUCAUAUCAAGGGAUGAUGUCCCCUGCAGCACAGGGCAUGGCUUCCUUGCCAGACUCACCCAAGACUUCUACUCAACCGAGUCCCUGCAAUCAGCAGCCCUGAUUGAUGCUGCCCUUCUCUCCAGCGCACUAAUUGUUGACUUGGGUCUUUCCUUGUUAAGGUUACAGUAAUUAUAGACCAUUAGGAAGUGCUCAGUGGACCACGGUGACACACGGAACAGAUGCCAAAUCAAGAAGGCUCCCAGAGCAUCUAUUAAAUGUCUGCCCGUGACUGCAGAGAGCUGGUUCACGACCCACGUGGUCCUCUCCAGCUCUAACAGAACGCAUCUGUAUGGCAGAACUGGGAAUGGAAACUUGCUAUUCUCAUACCAAAAGCCCAGGCCUCCACCCAGAGCUUUCUCAGGCAGGUUUCACCAUCCUGCCUUUCACUUUGUGAGCCACACAGGCUGACCGGUCUGGGACUGGGACAGCCAGAGUCCUGCAAUCCACAAGGAACUAGCAGCCCUGAGCUCCAGCACAAACAGCAUCUGAACACAGAUGAUGUGCUUUCCUGGAGCCCCAGGGAUGACAUCAGAUAGGUUCCUUGAUGAGCUCACAUAUACCCCGUCAGCACAGGGAAGGGCUGACCUACCGAGCACCCCGUGCAUUGGUAUGCUCAGCAGCUGGCACAGGCAAAUGUUCUACCAGAAGUUCUGAUGAGUCUCCAGCCCGCUCUGACACCAGUGUUAAUGAAGUCAGACCCUGUGAUCCAGGGCUCCUGCCAGCCACAAAACGUCACCAGGAAAUAGCGUUGAACCAACACGGCGCUGCUGCAGUCCUUGCAAGCCCUCAUCCAGAGCAUUUCCACUUUGAAGUUGGGAACAACCGUGGCGAACUGUACCGCAAUCACUGCUGUUACCUUGCGGGCCCAGAGACACCGUGUUCAGAGACAUAACAGUGGAGCAGUGCCAGACACAAUGUUACUGGGACAGCUACAGAGAGGCAGACCCAGGCAUCAGGGAGCACACAAACCUCCCAGCCUUUGAGUCACCGGAGCCAUGCCGCAGGAACAAUCCAGCCCUGCUCCCAGUGGAAGGGAUUGCAUCCUCCCUCACCAUCCCUUCCCUGUUAUAUCUGGACUUUUCCUCCUCGCAGUAGGAGCUGCGGUCCAAGAAUCAAUAGGAGGCUUGGCAACACGCU